UGGGGAAUUUUGGACAAUGGGCGAAAGCCUGAUCCAGCAAUGCCGCGUGUGUAAAGAAGGCCUUCGGGUUGUAAAGCACUUUUGUCCGGAAAGAAAUCCUUGGCUCUAAUACAGUCGGGGGAUGACGGUACCGGAAGAAUAAGCACCGGCUAACUACGUGCCAGCAGCCGCGGUAAUACGUAGGGUGCAAGCGUUAAUCGGAAUUACUGGGCGUAAAGCGUGCGCAGGCGGUUUGCUAAGACCGAUGUGAAAUCCCCGGGCUCAACCUGGGAACUGCAUUGGUGACUGGCAGGCUAGAGUAUGGCAGAGGGGGGUAGAAUUCCACGUGUAGCAGUGAAAUGCGUAGAGAUGUGGAGGAAUACCGAUGGCGAAGGCAGCCCCCUGGGCCAAUACUGACGCUCAUGCACGAAAGCGUGGGGAGCAAACAGGAUUAGAUACCCUGGUAGUCCACGCCCUAAACGAUGUCAACUAGUUGUUGGGGAUUCAUUUCCUUAGUAACGUAGCUAACGCGUGAAGUUGACCGCCUGGGGAGUACGGUCGCAAGAUUAAAACUUAAAUGAAUUGACGGGGUCAUAGCUGUUUCCU
rnacentral:rRNA from 1 species